rnacentral:misc_RNA from 1 species
UCCAACUUAUCGCUGGCGGUCUCCUGAGAGUGCACCCUUGCGGGUUUGCAACACAGGACAAGGGUUGCGCUCGUUGCGGGACUUAACCCAACAUCUCACGACACGAGCUGACGACAGCCAUGCAGCACCUCGACCCCACUCCCUUGCGGGAUAACAAUGUUUCCACUGCCGUUAAGAGGCCGUUCGAGCCCAGGUAAGGUUCUUCGCGUUGCGUCGAAUUAAACCACAUGCUCCACCGCUUGUGCGGGUCCCCGUCAAUUCCUUUGAGUUUUAACCUUGCGGCCGUACUCCCCAGGCGGCUCACUUCACGCGUUAGCUACGGUACCAAGGAAUCGCUUCCCCAACACCUAGUGAGCAUCGUUUAGGGCGUGGACUAC